rnacentral:misc_RNA from 1 species
AGACCCGUCACUCUGAGAGGACGCAAACCAUCACAAAUAUGACAAGCUAACAGACUAUAUCACAUCAAAGAUCAAGCAUACACAUACUCAGCCUGUACACUACUAAGCUGUACAUAAUAACAUCAGCAAAUGGAUGAAGUGGCACCGUAAAACGUUUAAUCUCACAUUGGACAUGUAUCGUCCUCUUCUUGUUGAGGCAUCAAGUAAUUUCUACAAAGAGGACAAGUUACAUGCCAAUACCUGAGCCACUUCUCUAGACACAGCUUAUGGAAAACAUGACCACAUGAGAGGCUGUUUACCCCUGCAUCAGGCUCAAAUUUUGUCAGGCACACAGAGCAUUCUUGUUCAGGGUGGUUAGAGAUACGUAGCGAGUCAUAACGAAAUGCAGGCGUUCGGCUUCUGAACUCCUCCAUGUAUGAUUCUGGUGGGCUUCCACGGCAUUCAAGUGAGUCCAAGGGUCCUUCAAUAGAAUAGUCUUCCCAUGAUGCGAUACGGAUGCCAAUCACACGAAGGAUCGAACGGAGUAUCUCCUUGAUAAUGGAGAUGGAUAUGGCUGUGUUUACUAGAAUUACACCGAGUACUCCUGCAUCUGCUGGAGUUGGA